CAGUGAAACUUAAACGGCCGCGGUAUCCUAACCGUGCAAAGGUAGCGUAAUCACUUGUCUUAUAAAUAAAGACCGGUAUGAAUGGCUAAAUGAAUAUUUAACUGUCUCCUUUAACUAAUCAGUGAAACUGAUCUCUCAGUACAAAAGCUGAGAUAAACUUAUAAGACGAGAAGACCCCGUGGAGCUUUAAAUUUUAACAAAAUAUUCUUAAAACAUAUUUAUGGUAAAAAAUUUUUAGUUGGGGCGACUUUGGAGCAAAACUAAACCUCCAAGAAAGGGCACCGCCUAACCAAGGCUAACAGGCCAAACUAACCGACCCAGUAUUAUUUACUGAUUAACGAACCAAGUUACCCCAGGGAUAACAGCGCCAUCUUCUUCAAGAGUUCAUAUCGACAAGAAGGUUUACGACCUCGAUGUUGGAUCAGGACACCCAAAUGGUGUAGCCGCUAUUAAAGGUUCGUUUGUUCAACGAUUAAUAGUCCUACGUGAU
rnacentral:rRNA from 1 species